UGGGGCUGAUGACUGGGGUGAAGUCGUAACAAGGUAGCCGUACCGGAAGGUGCGGCUGGAUCACCUCCUAA
rnacentral:rRNA from 1 species